AUUUUGCGUGAGUGAUUGCAGCGGCAUCCUUUUUAUUUUUUUAUAAAAAGAUACAGCGUAAAGCAUGACCUUUA
rnacentral:sRNA from 1 species